GGGCGCGCCCCGGGCGGGGCGGGGGCACGGGGGGAACGCGAAGAACCUUACCAGGUCUUGACAUCCUCUGACAACCCUAGAGAUAGGGCGUUCCCCUUCGGGGGACAGAGUGACAGGUGGUGCAUGGUUGUCGUCAGCUCGUGUCGUGAGAUGUUGGGUUAAGUCCCGCAACGAGCGCAACCCUUGAUCUUAGUUGCCAGCAUUCAGUUGGGCACUCUAAGGUGACUGCCGGUGACAAACCGGAGGAAGGUGGGGAUGACGUCAAAUCAUCAUGCCCCUUAUGACCUGGGCUACACACGUGCUACAAUGGAUGGUACAAAGGGCUGCAAACCUGCGAAGGUAAGCGAAUCCCAUAAAGCCAUUCUCAGUUCGGAUUGUAGGCUGCAACUCGCCUACAUAAGCCGGAAUCGCUAGUAAUCGCGGAUCAGCAUGCCGCGGUGAAU
rnacentral:rRNA from 1 species